rnacentral:tRNA from 1 species
GCGGCGUAGCUCAGUUGGUAGAGCGCGGAUCUUAUAAGUCCUGGGUCGCGGGUUCGAGUCCCGUCGCCGCCA